UGAGUUUAUCAUAUGGAACAAGUGUAGCCCGGAGGUGGAUUUUUGCCACAGGUAAGGAGAAGCUGAAGAGCAACAGGGACAUAAAGAUUGAGGUCAAGAGCUUUGAGCUUGAGGGUAGUGCAGAGACAAGCCGCGGCUUCGACUUCAACGAGGCCUUUAAGUAACGGACAACAUUUGUUAACUGCUGGAUCCCCAAGCCCUAUCUUUACUAAACCUCCCAACAAGUCGACGCAAGCACCUAACUUCAGCGUGUCUAUUGGACAUGUCGCCUUCCCGCCCCCUGAUGGUGGCUUUACGCUCCCUGGCGGUGGAGGACAGUCCUUCCCUCCUGUGGCUGGUGGGGUUGUUCCCGGUGGAAGAAUAGGACCUACAAUUGGCAAAGGCGGCAAUGGCAGAUUGGGACCUACCACUGGAGGUAUGGGUAGCCCUGAAAUCGGAGGAAGGGGUAGCUUAGGGACGGUCACUGGAGGAACGGGUAGCUUAGGUACAGUUACCGGGGGAACGGGUAGCUUAGGGACUGUCACUGGAGGAACGGGUAGCUUGGGGACGGUCACUGGAGGAACGGGUAGCUUGGGGACGGUCACAGGAGGAACGGGUAGCUUAGGUACAGUCACUGGUGGAACGGGUAGCUUAGGGAUGGUCACAGGAGGAACGGGUAGCUUAGGGACGGUCACCGGAGGGACUGGUAGCUUAGGGACGGUCACCGGAGGAACUGGUAGCUUAGGGACGGUCACCGGAGGAACUGGUAGCUUAGGGGCUUUAGGGGAGUGCUUUCCGCCCUUCCGUGGGUUGCAAGAGCCGCAUGCGAGAGAAUGUUGGGGGAGAUAGAUAAUGCAAAUGAGGAAGAGGCAAAGAGAGAGAGAUGAGAGUUUGGAGGAGUCCAUGUUGAGUAGAGUGGAUGGUGUAACUAUACGAAAGAGUAUAUGAAUAUAUAGAGGGAAAAUGAGAAGAAGAAUUCACGUGAAGAUGGGGGCUACUUCUGCAAUAAGAAGAGACGCCCCAAAAUAAGCAUGGUUGGCAAUUAUCAUAAGAAUACAAGAUUUCCUUGAUGACCCAUCGCUAUAUAUCAUCACAUGUCGACCACACUUUUUUCACUUUUUUUUUUCUAAGUGCCUCUUGUUCUUGGGUUAACUACAACUUUUAACAACGUGUAACUUCAGUUUCAACAGUACAGUACAUUUAACUUGUAGGAAUUGUAAUGAAUCAACUUAGCGAGACUAGGUCAUUAUGAGAUAUCAUCAAUACUAAAUAACAUUUUGAUGAUGUAAACACUCUAGGAAAAGCAGAUAAUAUAGUAUCAUAUGGUUUUCGCUUUAGUGUGUGGCUUCAUAAGCAUCUCCAUGCAUGAGUCGACUGCUAAGGAACAUAUAGAUCUGCACCAUAGUGAAGACGGCUUAGUCUAUUCAAAACACUAAUGUUGUGCCUUUCGAGGACCUCCCGAGACUCGAAUUCGAAUGCACUCUCCAAAGGUAUUAUGUUAGGGAAAAAACCUUAUUAAACCAAAUAUGUUACUGUUUAACCCAUACACGAAAAUUAGAUAUAUAAAUGUUGAACAAAUAGCAUAUAGUUAUAUCCAAUAUAUACGUACAUGAGAGGUAAAGAAGACAGCAAGACUGACAUGUGAAAUUCGGGAUACACUUUUGUUGUUUGGUGAUUUUGUUACGUAGUGUCAUUAAAGAAACGAUCAUGUGUGCGUGGACCAUCUUCUUCUUUUUACCGCUCAUUUCCCUUUUUACCAUAUCUACUACAAAAGAGUCCGAACUGACCAUUUAAUGAACGAGUACCAUUCAAUUCAUAAACUCCCCGUAUCAAUCUAACUGACACUGUAAAAGUUAUAAUGUUAAUAUAUAAAAAUAAUAUGGUUAUUUAGCAUGAAUAAUAACUUUUUAUAAUUGAGAGUAUGUCUAGCUAACAUUGGUGAUUGGUGCUUACAUAAAUCAUAUUUUUCAAACCACUUAACAAGAACUUUACAUAUUCAAUGAUAAACGAAUCACAUUUAUACAAUAUACCAUUCAAAAAUAAUAUUGUAAGAUGAUUUGAAAUUAAACGAUUGUAAUAUAUAAUGUGUUAAAAGUAAUGUAUUAUAGAUAUCUUGUAAUUAUUUAAAGGGUUUUGUGCAAAAAAAAAAACCACUAACUCAUACAUUUUUCCAAUUUACUAUCCAGCUCUAAUAAAUGCACAUUAAUCCUAUGAAUCUAAAAUAAUACGCAUUGUAACCCUUUUUGACCAUUUUUUGCUACCAUCAAUUUUGUAAAAUAUUGAUAUAUAAUAUGUUAAAUCAAAGCUCUCGCGACCAAGAGUUCAACUCUACCUUUAAAAAUUUUAAAAUGUAAUGUAUGUAACCGUAAAAACGCUUGUAAUAUGCAUAUGAAAUUUAUAUUACAUAUUAUGUUAAACUUCAUAAGAUUAAUCUGCAUUUGUUGGUAGUGCAUUUGUUAGAGGUGGAAGGUAAUGUUGCAAAAAUAGAUGAGUUAAAAGAUUUCUUUUUGCACAAAACCCUUUAUUUAAACUACUAACAAUAUAAUAUAUAAAUAAUUUAAAACAUAUAUCUCUAUAAUUCAUGAAGUAAUAAUGGUGUACCCUAUCCUUACCAACGAAUAAUAAAGAAAUGAUAUUAACUCUGAUUCAAAAGCUAUAUAUAAGAUAUUCUUUUUUUUUCCUCGGGAGGGAUACGAAUCCGGUAACAUGAAUCAGUGUCCAAUAAGAGCCAGUGGUCGUAAAUUCCAAAUGACAGAUGGAUGACUCAUUUUAAUUCGUAACUUUUGUCAGCUGCGAUAUAUGCUAAUGAAACCUGAGGUGCUAGAUUUUGAUUUUAAUGGCUUUAGAUUCUUACUCAACACUCAAUGGCCCACUCGUUAAUCUCUUACCUUCUAAAGUGAGUUAUGAUCCACUGCUUCUUUCUUCUUGUAGAUAGAUGGACCUGUUUUUUUUAGGUUGUGAUUUGUGGACAUUAAUCAACAACCCAUGUUUAUACGUGAUAAUGUCUGGAGCUAUAUGUAAAGGCGAUAUGGAGGACAACAUUCCUCUAUUCUAACUUUAAAAGCCAUGUAGUUAGGGCUGGACACCAAUAUUCUUUUUUUUUUUGCUAAAUUGUAAAUAUCAUUUUGAUGAAAAAUCAGGUUUUACAACAGUUGUAUAACCUAAAACAUUUGAACUCUUUGGCAAAAAAGAAUAAAAAAACGAAGAGCCAAUCGAGAGCUGCAUAGAACUCGGUAGUUUCAUAGCAGCCACAACGCUAUUAACUUGCGAAAAAGGAGUCUGUUUCUUCUUGAGGUGAUAACGUUUUUGAUUUUGCGGUUGAUGCACUUGAAUAUAGAAUGCGGAGAGAGGGAAGUAGCGUUGUGCAGGACAUUGUUAGGCUGCUUCAAGAUGUGGAAGACCUUAGACUGAACGACAAUAAUUUUAAGAACUGAUGAAGCCAAUAUUCAUCAUUUUCAAACAAAAAAUAUCUUUUGUUUGACACCAAUAUCCUUGACCAGCUUCAAACAAAGGAUAUACAUCAUUUUUAAGUCGGGUAAGGCAAAUGAGUAUAAGGAUUCUCAUUACACAUCUGGUUGCCAAAAACUUUUAGUCAAAUACUAGUUACAAUCUCAGUUUUUUACCCCAAACUUUUUGCCACUUAAAAAACUAGGGGUGGGCAUUCGGGUAAGCGGGUCGGGUUCGGGUUCGGGUAAAACCCGAUCAGGUAUAAAGAAGUUUAGGAUCUAAUAGGGUAAAUCUAAAAUAUCGGUUCGGUUUCGAUUCGGGUCCAACCGGGUUCGGAUAUAGAUUUGUGGCCUUUUUUUAUCCAGAUUUUUCGGGUAAAAUUUUGGAUUUCGGAUAAAAUUUAGAUUUUUGAAUAAAAUAUUUGGGUAUUUUCGGGUUCGAGUUUGUUUUUUCGGGUAGAGAAAUUUAGGAUCCAGUAAAGUACAUCUUCGGAUUUGGAUUAAGUUUCAGCUCUAAUUUUUCGAGUUAGUUUCGGUUCGGAUAAUCGGUUCUGGUUUUUUGGCCCGGCUCUAUAGAAAACCAUCAAUAAAUAUUUUAAUCCUAUUUCUGCCUCAUUACUCGAGAAAAUAUUCGACCCGUUUUAUUACUUGAUAAAUUUACAACUAUAUAUUUAUGUAAUCUAUUUCAUAUUAGUAAAAUAUAUUAAAUUUGUUAUUAAAACCAAAUAUCUUUUGAGAUUAGGGCAAUCAAAAGUUAAGGUCAAGCAAAUGUCUCCUUUCUAAAUGUUUUUGUGGGUAACGGUAAAGGACAAAUAUACAGCCCAUGCCCAGACCUACAAGUAGCGACUCCAUUACUACACAGUAAGAUUUUUAUUAAUAAAAAUGUGCAUGGUUUCAUUUAAAAGUCAUUGCUAACACUUCACUUUACAGUAAUAUUCAAUUUCAUACCUUUAAACGUUAAUCAGAAUCGCCAAUUGGAAGCCAGUCACUGGAAUCACCUUCCGAAUCCUUGCUAUGUCCAACUUGGCUCUUGCUGAGCUGAACCCAGCUUGACCCGCUUGCGUUUGAUGCUGGUCUUUUCAGUGUACUCCUGUUGGGACUUGGCUUCUCCGAGAGAUCAUCGACAUCUAAAUCACUAAAGGAGAUUACCUCUUCAUCUCUGAAACUCCUCCGUUGUUCUUCAGAUGACUCAUCACUUAUCUCCCUUUGCUCAAUUUUUAGAGUCUCUAUCUUGUCAAUGACUCCCUCAACGGUUUCUGUUUCCCUACUGCUACCUUCUUCAGGAGUUUCGUGACCAGUAGUGCUCUUGCUUGACCCUGUCUCUUUCUUUUGCAGCUUUAGUAAAAGUUGAUCCCUUGUUUCAAAUACCUGUGCCGCACAAUAUAGUUAUUAAAGUUUCAGAAAUAGGUACAAUAGUAACUUGGGAAAAAAUGCAGAGCAUAAAAGAUAUAAAACAAUCCAAUUUUAAAAGCAUCAGGCAAAAAUACAUUUUUUCCUGAGGCUAUACUUGUUCUUAUUGCAAUCGGUUGAAGGGGUCAUUAUAGCAUAAACGUUUACGAUUUUAAUAAUAUUGGAUCAAUACUGACAUUUCAGAAGAAUGUAUUUCCAGUAUACAGUCUUACCUUGCAUGUUGCUAAGAGUUCAAAAUCAUGCCCAUUCAGUCUCGGCAUCAGCAAAAUAAAAUAAAUCAGCCAGAAGUGUUCAUCAUCCAUGUAACUACUAACUUGAUUCUUCACAGCUACAAGGCCAGGAACCAAAUCUUCAAUGGCUGAUGCAUGUGCCCUUUGAGCCUCAGACAGUUCAAAUUCUGCAAUGUGGACAUGAAAAGUUGGAGAAAAACUUCAGCAUAAUUCAGUAGGUAAAAUUGAUGUAAACCACCAAUGCUUUUUAUCAGGAAGUGUUUCGACAACAUUUUCAAGCAAACCAAGCCUAUAUACAAAAGGUUGUACAGGAUGACGAUAUGCUUCGCAAUAAAAUAAAUAAAAAGAUUUAAGUGGCAUAUGGAUUGAACUAUAUAUAUAUAUAUAUAUAUAUAUAUAUAUCCCAAGAAGAGACUGCAGACCCCGUCAAGUUUAUUCGUAAUUCCUGGAGAUCUAUCUAAAGAACAGGGACUUCAAAAAAAAAAAUUAACUGCAGAAACAAUCAAUCUUGUCCAAACAGGUCUAGAAUAAAACACAUCAAGAGUUAAAGACUGAAGCAUAAUCAUCUUUGGCGACUGAAAACAAGUCAACUAUAUUUCCAAGAACAAUCAUGUUUAUUCCUGCAUGGCUGCAAGUUCGUCGACAAUAUCUUCAAGGUAUGAAAAAUGUGAUCUACAGAGAGUAAUGGGACCCCGAGAUCCUAAAGACCUGAGCUUGAAGAAAUAUAUCCCAAGAGGAGAUGGCAGGACCGGUCUAACCUAAUCUAAAAUACUAGGAAAUCUCUCUAAAGAACACCAGAGGCUACAAGCAAUCAACUGUACAAACAAAAAAAAUAUUUUCCUAAUAAAUCACAGUAAGAAAAUCAUAACUAAACAUAGAUAGUUAGAAACCACCAAUGCGGUGCUUCGACUAUACUUUCAAACUAACAAAGCCUAUAUACUGGGAACAAAAAUAUGCUUGAAGAAAUAUGUCCAAAUAAGCUUAAUCUGUAACCCUAGUGAUCCCACUAGAAAGCCAAUCAACUGUAGAAGCAAUCAAUCUUUUCCAAAUAAAACCUAUUUUAGUAACAAUUAUGUUUGCCUACUGGGAAAAAAAAAAGUCAAUGCAGAGCUUAAGACUAUUGAGAAUCAAGCUUUAUGAUUCCUCUAUUGACUAUACAGGAGCAUUACCAGUAUCGAGUGACAAUGGAAAAUCUGUCCAACAACCAGGUUUCGUCGAGAUUUUAACAGCGAAAUCGACUACUUCUUCAGAGAUUCCAGGAACUUGAUCGUUCAACGGAGAUCUUCUACUACUUUCUCUAUCUCUUAGAUUACUAGGAAAUUGGAGUAAAUUAGAUGCGAAAUUGGAGAAAUUUCCACGAAUCUCGGCUAGAUCGUUGCGGAUCCCGAGAAGACCUAGCUGAGUUGGUGAAUUAUCAGAGGAGAGUCGGCGUUCGUUUACAGGUGGAGAAGGAGGCGGUGCCAGGAAAGCUGCGACGCCACGGAGUAAGGAAGAUAAAUCUUCUUUGACACCGCCAUGAGUUGUGGAAGGAUCGGGAUCGGGAUCGUGAUCGUCAUCGCCGCGAGAUUUGAAGAG
rnacentral:lncRNA from 1 species